rnacentral:lncRNA from 13 species
AUGCUUUCUUGGUACACAAGAUCGCGUGUACAGUUCAUUAUCUCUAGCACAGAAUUGUCUACUGCGUCCACCUACCAUUGUCGAUUCCGUGUCAUCUGUGAACUGCUGAUGAUCCCGCCUCCAAAGAACCUAAGCUGAAUUCUCAUUGGAAGAAUGGAGCGCCAGUCUUUCCUUCACGAGUGAACACGGUUUCUAGUGGUCGGUCGGUCUGUGUGGGACAGCAGUGGGCCUGACUGUGGACCCUGCAGGAAGGAGGACAGCAUUGUGCAGUGCAGAUAUAACCCCUGGAUUUAGUCCUCUGGAGUAACCAAAGAGCCUCCAGCUGAGACAUGACUCCUCUCCUGUUGUCAAUACUCCCUUAAUCACACUAUUAUUCAUACCUGUUUGCCUUCCCUGAAAAAAAAUAGAGGUGUAAUCUGUUUUAAAGCUGUGGUGUAAAGAAAAGUAGGGAUUUCCCCACCUCAUGGUGCUCGGGUGCCUGCUUGUUGACCUCUGUGAAAUGGCUUCAUUGUGUAACUGGGGAUAUCAACAGUUAGUUGGGUUGUGAAAAUGUAGAGAGAGGCUAACCAUAUGUGAAUGCUUAAGUUUGGUAUUGGUGCAAACUAGAAAGAGGAGAUGACAAAAAGCUUUUGUUGUUGAGUGGCAUACUGCCUUUCUCUGGUUACUCAGACAGUUAUCUACCUAAAGUGGUCUUCACAAAUGCAUUGAUGUGAGAGUCAAUUGAAACUUCUUAAAAGGCUCUUGUUAUUUCUGUUGUUUAUGUUUUGAGUGUCAUUCCUCUGCCUGAACCUCUGAAUUCAUCUCACAACAUAAUGAAACCCUGCAAAGGGACUUUUCUUAAACACUUUGUCUUACAAAAGUGUUUUUUUUUUCAUCACCUAUCCUGCUGAUAGAGGUAACAUCAAAACAGUCUUUCCUGUGGUUUGAGUUGUGGUGUUUCUCUGUGCUGCAAUCCAUGUCUGUACACUAACAACAGACGCGCACGCACAAGUGUUUUCUCUUCAACCAUUUGUAUGCUUCACCACAUCCCCUCUGUUGACCAGUCUGUAUAAGCUUAUCAAACUCUCUCUGUGACACCUCUAGACCAAUUACAAAAUCUGUGUUGAUGUUCGUACUACUGAAUUAAACAAUAAACAAUAGCCAUAUUUAGUCUGUCAGGACUAUACCUUGAAUUUAUUUCAUAACAUUGCUUAUAUAUGAUUCGUGAGGUUCCUUCAAUUCCUUAAGUAUCUCCCAUCACUGACUGUGAAUCUGAUUGGAUUUAAGCUGCAGCACAGGAGUGUGAUGAUGCUGCUGUAUGCACGUUCCUUCUCCUCCUGUAUUGUCAUGGUGACUGGGGGAGGGGGUGACCCUGUAGGAGUAGAUGAACAGUGGUCAUCGUUCACCUCAGGGGCUGAUGGACAGAUGCUGAUUUAGGUUGAUUUAGUGCAUCACCUGGUGGACACUACUAGGAAUGAUCCCAUCUGAAUGGAGUAGGAGCUGGCUGCGGGAAGUGUGGGUUUGGAGAGCUCUACUGAUUCCACGUCAUACAGGGUUCUACCACAGAGGGCUUAUAUGAACCUCAACUCCUUAUUCUAUGGCCUGCAAGAGAAAGAGUGUUUUCCGACAGGAAAGAAACAUGUCAACUCUCUGACAUCACCAUCCUGACGUUAAGAAGGAGGCCUUUUUCACACACUACUCUUUUAAGUCAGUGUGUCAUAAACUAGUUCCUAGGGCACAGCGUUAGCUAUUCAUCAUGUUCACAUUUGUGACCCACCACCUGGAUUCAGUCCAAUGUAGCAAAAUUUGAAAUUGUGUUUUUUACAUUGGAUAAAAGUAGAGACUCAGAGCUACAAAUGGUAUAUCA